CACCAGCCUCCUGUCAUCCGGCAGGCAGAUCGGGCCCCCCCCCGGAGUAGUCCGGCACAGCCCUCAGUGUAGGCAGGCCCCCAAUCUGCUUGCUGGAUGACAGGAGGCUGGUG
rnacentral:pre_miRNA from 1 species